rnacentral:rRNA from 1 species
GAUGAACGCUGGCGGCGUGCCUAAUACAUGCAAGUAGAACGCUGAAGGAGGAGCUUGCUCUUCUGGAUGAGUUGCGAACGGGUGAGUAACGCGUAGGUAACCUGCCUGGUAGCGGGGGAUAACUAUUGGAAACGAUAGCUAAUACCGCAUGACAACAGUUAUUGCAUGAUAACUGUUUAAAAGGGGCAACUGCUCCACUACCAGAUGGACCUGCGUUGUAUUAGCUAGUUGGUGAGGUAACGGCUCACCAAGGCGACGAUACAUAGCCGACCUGAGAGGGCGAUCGGCCACACUGGGACUGAGACAGGGCCCAGAAUCCUACGGGAGGCAGCAGUAGGGAAUCUUCGGAAAUGGAAGGAAGUCUGACCGAGCAACGCCGCGUGAGUGAAGAAGGUUUUCGGAUCGUAAAGCUCUGUUGUAAGAGAAGAACGAGUGUGAGAGUGGAAAGUUCACACUGUGACGGUAUCUUACCAGAAAGGGACGGCUAACUACGUG